GGAGAAGUCGUAACAAGGUUUCCGUAGGUGAACUGCGGAAGGAUCAUUG
rnacentral:ncRNA from 1 species